UACGGAGGAUGCGAGCGUUAUCCGGAUUUAUUGGGCGUAAAGCGAGCGCAGGUGGUUUAUUAAGUCUGGUGUAAAAGGCAGUGGCUCAACCAUUGUAUGCAUUGGAAACUGGUAGACUUGAGUGCAGGAGAGGAGAGUGGAAUUCCGUGUGUAGCGGUGAAAUGCGUAGAUAUAUGGAGGAACACCGGUGGCGAAAGCGGCUCUCUGGCCUGUAACUGACACUGAGGCUCGAAAGCGUGGGGAGCAAACAGG
rnacentral:rRNA from 1 species